AUGUCAGCUUUAUCUUCUUUCGAAGUACCCCGAUGUGCCAUGAAUAUUUUCACGGAGUGUAAGGUUGCGGGUGGCGAAAGAAUACCCGCGAGUAGAAGCUCCUGUUUUUGACUAUGAUAAUCAGGCUGGAGCGAGACAGGGGUAGCAACUUAAUUUCGCACCGCCCGUGCUUUCAUCCGAUGCGCAUCUUAUACGAACUAGAGGGAUUCUCCAAUUUCCACGAGAGUUUGGAUAAUGUUACCCGGAAAUUUUUCUAAAUGACAAAGACUAAAACACGUAGAGUAAUAACGAGGAGGGGAAAUGUUCCAAAGCUCAAUUCCAAACCUACUUAUUUUUUAAAUACCUCGUAAAAGGUUUGCCCAUCGUCCUUUAGAUCCUCUUCGGCGUGAAACAUAUAAUUAGGUUUCUAAAUAAACAAAAAAAAUAGAGGAAUUACUAUUCACGUAAUAUUUACAUCAUGCAGCCUGACACGCAUUAAAAUGCAAAAAUAAUAUUCGCUGCAUCUCGGUGCGGACAUGAAGGGGUUAAUGGCGAAGGAAGAACAAGUCGAGGCGCGAGAUAAAGAGGAAUGUGCUAGAAUGCGAGACAGAGAAGAAUGUGCAGAGGUUGCUGUAUUAUCUCGCUCUCAUCCCUGAUACGUAAUAUUUCUCGUAUCAAAGUGCACGUGACGGUCAGCGCGAUUAUGUGAAUGUAUUUCCUCGUGACGAUGGCCCGCGAAAGGAAGCGUGGAACGCGCCCUCCAAACUAUCGUAAACACGAACAAAUUCGCGACCAGAGAUCAUCUAGAAACAAAUUUUGAGGCCUUCCAAUGUCAAAAGGAUCUUCGGCCCUGGUGUAGUACCUGCAAACGAUCAACAGGAGCGAUACAAAGCUAUCUGCGGGGUCCAGAACAACAAAGGGGAUUAGUAUUUUUACAUAACGACGGAUGAGUGCACAAGGGUCGAAUAAGUACGCCUAAUCUGUCCGCGGUCUUAGUUUCACGGUUGAUUGGAUAGGAGGAAUUUUUCCAAAUUCGGGGCAAAUCUGUCUUGCUCCUCGAAGGCUGUUUGAGGAACUUGUUUUGUUCAAAAUGUUUUCGUUUUACCUGCAACGGGGAUGCGUAACAAUAUUAGAUGAGAAACAAUAAUAACAACAAAGUAAAUAAUAUAUCGAUGUUACAUAGAGCAAGUAGGACCUGUGUUCUUUUUUUCUGCAAUUUGUUUUCAAAUUGAAUUUGCAUCCCAGCAGUAAUUCUAUUCGAUUCUUAUUUAGAUACCUCCCUUAUCCGGAUAAUGGCGAACACGGCGACGUCGGUAAUGAUCGAAACGUGGUUUUCUGUAAAAAGAAGUUUACGGUAACCACGUCACGGUGGCCCACGGGUAUACAAAUGCAAUAUACUUCAUGGACUGUUACGUGAAAUGGAUGUCGUCGAGUUUCCCAAGAGUCUGUCGUUCGACGGAGAUCGAAGGCAAUAAAGAGAGGCACGUGAAGGAGACAUGGCGUCGACAUCCUGUGGGUUGGUCGAAGUAGUCGCUGGUGGAGAAAGAGGAGGCGAAAUGGGGAUAAAUACGACGGCGUGCGAGCUAGCAUGACCCUCGAAGUAUGCGGGAAGCUUGUGGUCUAUCUCUGAGUAACAUAUAAAUGGUGUGCUCCGCCAUAGCUACGUACGCGCUCGACCACCCAAGGGUACAUACAUACAUACAUGGGCAGGAGCACUCUAGGAAAAGUGCAUAAGCACGGGGCAGAGUAUUUACUUUGCGGAGGGCCAGCAUCCUGCAGAAAAAUUGCCAUUCGUUGAGCUCUGGAAAAAAGUGAAAGCGCUUUUCUUCUCCGUGGAAAGAGGCGGCCUUUGUUUUCCGUGGAACAUCCCGAAGGGUCCUGUCGUUUACUCGCAACGCCGAUCUCCGAAGAUACGAGGAAUGAGUUUUAAACAACCUCCAUCGUCGAUUAACUUGCACGUUCGUAAAUUACCAAGAAGAUAGCAAGCUAAUUCUCGAACACCCUGUGUGCAUGUAACGCAGGCGCAGGCAGCUGUCACCUUACACCCAUGGAGGAGCCAUGGGCUGCGGCGGCCAUUCUCAACUUAUCUCUAGGAUCUUUGUAAACAUGUCGUGAAAUCCGAGUAUUCAAGCAGUGGCGUAGAUCGCGAGGUGGAAGGACCCGUCGGAGCCUUCUCUGAGUAGGAAUUAAAAUCCCCGGCGGGUACAUUUAGUGACUGCAACAUUGGGUGCACAUGGUUCCCUUGGCAACCAGAACCAUGGUGGUAACGUCACUAAAUGGAGCACAUCUUUGUUCCGUGCUAAUAAAAGGACUCCACAAGGUGCCACCAUCUUUCUUCACCCUCUUCCUCGUCUCUUAGUCUUCCUGCUUAGGGCGCUCAUCCUUCCACAACGCUUCCUCUUAGAUACAAAUAUUCGCUAUAAUAAAGUAAUUCGAUAAUAGUAAUUUAUUCAAAAUUUUGUUUAUACGUUAUGCAAAUGCUUGAAGAAUUUACGCCUUUUGUUAAUCGAAGAUUGUUAAAUGAAACGUGGUGAUGGAACGAUGGAUUUAGUCGUUGAUCGAUCUAUCGGGAAUGAUUCGAUGAAUUUGAAUAUAUUUAUUGUUACGUGACGAUUCGAGACUGUUGAAGGCUUCGAGCUCAAGACUUGCCAGACAAGAACCGCAGCAACGUGAAACAUAAUACAAGUUGCACCAGCCAGUCCUAAGCUCAGCCAUGCGAAGCAGCCAGCGGCUAAGGAACGCGACGUACGAAUCAGAUUACAUCUUGCGUUGGCUGCUUAUCUUUAUUCUUCACUUUACCUCGCUUCAAUUCACUUCAUUUCGCUUCAGUGACAACCCUUCGAUCGGCAUCUUAUAACCGGCUCGAGAUAUGCACUCGUCCUUGGAAAGCGCUCACAGAAUUUAAAACGACGGUACCAUCGCUUUCACCAAGAUUUUUAAAUUCGU